UUACUAUACAGUUUUCCAUCAAUGUGAUUUAUUUUACUGCCUUAAAGGUUACCUUGAUUUCCUAGGAGUGUGAAUACCAUGGUAUAACAAAGAAGUAAUUAUUCAAUUAUGAUUUCUGAAUUAUAUUACUGAAAAGAUAAGGUUGAAUGAAAGACUCUUUUAAAGAUAAAAGUAUUUUCUCUGUUAAGAGUUGGGUUUAUAUGUCAACACUGAGCCUAGAAACAAUAAGGUUCAUUCUGUGAAGCCUUAUAAGAAGAAAUGCAGAGUAUAGUGUAAGGGAAGUGUACUACAUAAAGACUAACUGGAGGGACUUUUUUCUUUACUAUUACUGCAAAUAAUUAUAGCAGCCAAUGGAUGGGCCAAAAAGGAAUUUGACAUUCCAUCGCUAAUCUUCCCUACAUAAAAACACUAUCUGAAGUGUUUCAGAUUAUUCCAGUUCAGGAUUUGUUGUUAAACUUUACUUGGAUCAUAUUACACUGGUUUUAUUAAGUCACAUUGGCAGAAUCUCUGAGUAGUUCCAGUGUUAUUGUUAUCUAAGAUUACUUUUUUUUUUUUUCUGUCUUUUUUCUUUUUAGAGCUGCACCCGUGGCAUACAGAGGUUUCCAGGCCAGGGGUUGAAUAGGAGCUGUAGCUGCCAGCCAAUGCUGCAGCCACAGCAACUUGAGAUCCAAGCCACGUCUGUGAUCUACACCACAGCUCAAGGCAAUGCUGGAUCCCUAACCCACUGAGCAAAGCCAGGAACUGAACCUGCAUCCUCAUGGAUACUAGUCGGGUUCGUUAACCACAAGGGGAACUCCUAUCCAAGACUAGUUGGGCCCAAGAGAGUAGCUGCUACAAACUCAUGUAAAACCAAGAUGACACAAGGGCCAGGCUGGCUAUACUAUUUCCAUUUGAUUAGAAAGGCUUGCUGGGCCCUUUCUUUACUAGUCAUUGAGACUAAUAUGAAUCAACCUAAAAUGGGAUGCCAGUAAGACCAGGAGACUCAAAAUACUUGAGUUUCAGAAACUCAGCUUCAGCAAGAGAAAGCUUCCCACCCCUCUAUUCCUUAUAGAAGCAACUUAUAAUUGGCAGGCAAGUGGUACCCUCAUACUCAGAAAUUGCCUCUACUUGUGCAACCAUUGUCAUCUAAAUGAUCACUGAAGCUAUGAUUUCCCAUUUCUUCCUGGAUUCUAUAUUGUUUCACUAGACCACACACAAAAGAAGCUGGGCAUCACUUCUCCACAUCAGGCAGUCACUCUACCCUUUUUGAGCAUUUACAAUACAAGGAUAUUAUGAAACAUCACUUACAAUCAUACAUGCAACAUUAGAAGCUACAACAACAACAGCAUAAUUAAUAGUUUCAAAGGCUUCAUUCAGGACAUUGCUUUAACUUUUCUUCUCUACUGCAAUUUACCCAAAAUCUAUCAGUUGAAUCCAAGUGUAUUUUUCCUUCUCCAGGACCCAAAUCAAGGGGUUUAUCACACAUUUGUGGGAGGCUAUAGACACAGACACUAGUUGAUUAUGCUGUUCUUCUGAAACAUGGGGAAUGCAGGGUUGGUGAGGCCAUUCUAAGGGGAACUGAGGUGUGAAAGGAGACCUGUGGGGAAUUUUCACCUUGGUCCCUAGCUCCAGGGUAGGCAUUUUCUCCUUUCAUGCACCUCCAGGCUCUAGCAAACAUUCAAGUCCAGGGACCCUUUUCUGCAUACCCACUUCCCAAUGCUAUGGUCUUGCCUACAGUUCUUGGUGCUUUGGCCGCCCAGGAACUUAGCACCCACUCCAUGAUGGAAGCAGGUAGAGUGUGACCUGGGUGUCUGUAUUCAACAGACCUAUGUACAACUUUGAGUUCUUCUCCUCCACCAAGUACCUCAGCAUACCCAUCCCUUCUCCGAAAUCAGGUGAGAUCAGGAUAAAUGGGAGAAGAAGAGGGUAAGGGUAUGUGGAAGGGGAAAGCAGCUUCAACUCCAGUUAAUAAUUCUGUGCAUUAUUUUCAGUUUUAAGGGGCUUUGGUCUUUUGUUUUCUCUGGCUCAAGAAUCUUCAAUAUUUUCCACAGAUUUAAAGUCCUAUAUCCUUGUUACUGACAUAAUUUAUUUUAAGCUAUAGGGUCCUUUACUGCACUCUUGUCAUCAUAACGUCCUCUCUCUUCCUCCUAGCACUUGGAGGUUUUGGCGACUUGUUUCAAUCCUACUUCUUGCUGCUCACAUUCAUUCACAGCAGGACAGUGGCCAGGGGUGGGGGUGAAGAUCCUUACUCUUUUAUCUUAUCCACCUUUUGGCAAAAGCAUAUAUUAACUAUAAAUGUAAUAAAUGAUCUUAUGAAGCCUUCCUACAGCCCUAAACCAGUUCACCCAGGCCCUCUCUUUCUUCUUCCAGAAAGUUGUAUUUGUGUCAGUAUCUCCUCCCUGUCAGAAUCGUCAGAUUUUAAGGUCUCAUCCUACCUAAAAGCUAACAAGUUAGCCUGUUACUGUUUCAUGCAUGCUGGCAGAAGACACAAGACCAGGAUCAAAGACAAAAGACUAUUAGGUAUAAUACAGCCAACAGCAUAAGCACCUUAUUUGCAUAGGUUCCUUUUGAAUGGCCCAGGAAGAUAGUAUGCAUUCAGUGACUUUCACUGCAGCUGAGGAACACCGAGCUUAAGAAAUUCACUGUUCUUUCAGAAAGCAGUAGACAAGCUUGAUCUCUGUCUGGGGACAUAGGUUACCUUAUUAGUCAAGAUUGCUGGCUGCAAAUCGAACCCUGAGAAAGGCACGGAUAAAGAGUGUUCAAAGCCUUAAUUCUUGCAUACCUGGCAAGAAGUGGAGGGAGUUCAGGGCCUAUGGUAUGUUGAUUUUUACAACAGAGAGAAGAAAGUAAAGGAAAUAUUAUGGUUGUUGAUAUGUGAAUACCAAGGUUAAAAGGCCUCGAAAGCAAUAGAAGAUACUACAGAUGAAAAUAUCAAUAUUUUGAGUAAACAUUUAAUGUUUUUUUGUGUCCAAACCACUGAAGUGAUUUGAAUAUAAAUGCAAAUAUAUGAGAUAAAGAUUUUGAUAACUUUAAUCUAUUUGGAACUAAUUCAAAUUGGUAUGAUAAGCCCCAACAUCACAAUAGAUAACUGGGUAAAGGAUAAAUGGGUAUUUUUAAAAAAGAACUGCAGUGUCUAGAAAUGCUGGAAAGUAUUUCGUUGUUAAUCUCAAGCAUACGAUGUUUAUCAAGUUAUUAUUUUUAAAGAAAAAUGUCCAAUAUUGCACAGGGUUCUGAGAAAAUAUUUUCAUACAGUUUCUUUGAGUAAAACUAUUUUGGAACAUGUCAAUGUUUAUCAAAAGUCUUAAAAUGAUUAUGUUUCUUAGUAAAGGAAUUCAUAUUAGGGAAUCUAGUCUAAUGCCUUAUUAAAGAAUAAGCAUUAAAUGUACUAUAUGGGUUUUUUGGUACACUCUCAAACUCUAUUUGGAAAGUAGCAAACAAUAAAGAAAUAUGUGGCUCCUAUAGAAAUGUGAAAAUCACAUAAAACUUAUGUUUUGUUAUC
rnacentral:lncRNA from 1 species